CUUCUGUAUAUAAAAGGAUAAGCUUUGACAUACAAAAUCAUAACAAGAAGUUAGUCAGUCGUAUCGAUACAAACAGUUAAUCAGCUAAACGGUUGAACAACAUCAAGCUUAAUCAUGGAAGUUUUCCGCAUUUUAUUAUGCCUCAAAAUGUUACUUUUGAUUUGUGCAGUUUCUUUCGGCUCGGCCUUACCCAGAGGACCGAAUAAUGAUCGUCCCGCUCCUGUGGUCGUCCAGGACACAGGAUCAGGCGCCUUUAGACAUGAUUGAUAUAAUGUUGGACCUCUAUAAUAUUGAUCCGUACUGGUAGAGUAGCCUCGAUCAGAACAACAUGAUAAAUCUAUAUUCCAUCAACCGUUUCGUGAAACCACAAGAAAAUCGGUCAACCUCAACCCUCGAUGAGUUUCCAAAAAGCUUCAAAAUUUAAAAAAAAAAUGAUCCAAUAUGCUACGAUCCAGAUAAAAAAAAAUGGAAACCAACCAACAGAAAUGAAAAUUUAAGGAAAAAAAAAAGGAAAAAUAUUUUAAACAGUUAUGAAUUUUCAACAAAUCUGACAAAUGAUUCAAAUUCCGGUCGCCAAUGAUUAAAUUUGUAUAAUUCAUUAAAGAAUAAAUUUCCAACAAAAAA